rnacentral:rRNA from 1 species
GAUGAACGCUCGCUACAGGCUUAACACAUGCAAGUCGAGGGGAAACGGCAUUAAGUGCUUGCACUUUUUGGACGUCGACCGGCGCACGGGUGAGUAACGCGUAUCCAACCUUCCCAUGACUAAGGGAUAACCUGCCGAAAGGCAGACUAAUACCUUAUGGUCUUCACUGACGGCAUCAGAUGUGAAGUAAAGAUUUAUCGGUUAUGGAUGGGGAUGCGUCUGAUUAGCUUGUUGGCGGGGUAACGGCCCACCAAGGCAACGAUCAGUAGGGGUUCUGAGAGGAAGGUCCCCCACAUUGGAACUGAGACACGGUCCAAACUCCUACGGGAGGCAGCAGUGAGGAAUAUUGGUCAAUGGGCGAGAGCCUGAACCAGCCAAGUAGCGUGCAGGAUGACGGCCCUAUGGGUUGUAAACUGCUUUUGUAUGGGGAUAAAGUCAAUCACGUGUGAUUGUUUGCAGGUACCAGACGAAUAAGGACCGGCUAAUUCCGUG